rnacentral:rRNA from 1 species
GGGUUGUGAGGUUAAGCGACUAAGCGUACACGGUGGAUGCCACGGCAGUCAGAGGCGAUGAAGGACGUGCUAAUCUGCGAAAAGCGUCGGUAAGGUGAUAUGAACCGUUAUAACCGGCGAUGUCCGAAUGGGGAAACCCAGUGCAAUUCGUUGCACUAUCGUUAACUGAAUACAUAGGUUAACGAGGCGAACCGGGGGAACUGAAACAUCUAAGUACCCCGAGGAAAAGAAAUCAACCGAGAUUCCCCCAGUAGCGGCGAGCGAACGGGGAGCAGCCCAGAGUCUGAAUCAGCUUGUGUGUUAGUGGAACGGUCUGGAAAGUCCGACGGUACAGGGUGAUAGUCCCGUACACCAAAAUGCACAGGUUGUGAACUCGAAGAGUAGGGCGGGACACGUGGUAUCCUGUCUGAAUAUGGGGACCAUCCUCCAAGGCUAAAUACUCCUGACUGACCGAUAGUGAACCAGUACCGUGAGGGAAAGGCGAAAAGAACCCCGGCGAGGGAGUGAAAAGAACCUGAAACCGUGUACGUACAAGCAGUGGGAGCACCUUCGGGUGUGACUGCGUACCUUUUGUAUAAUGGGUCAGCGACUUAUAUUCUGUAGCAAGGUUAACCGUAUAGGGGAGCCGCAGGGAAACCGAGUCUUAACUGGGCGUUAAGUUGCAGGGUAUAGACCCGAAACCCGGUGAUCUAGCCAUGGGCAGGUUGAAGGUUGGGUAACACUAACUGGAGGACCGAACCGACUAAUGUUGAAAAAUUAGCGGAUGACUUGUGGCUGGGGUGAAAGGCCAAUCAAACCGGGAGAUAGCUGGUUCUCCCGAAAGCUAUUUAGGUAGCGCCUCGUGAAUUCAUCUUCGGGGGUAGAGCACUGUUUCGGCUAGGGGGUCAUCCCGACUUACCAACCCGAUGCAAACUACGAAUACCGAAGAAUGUUAUCACGGGAGACACACGGCGGGUGCUAACGUCCGUCGUGAAGAGGGAAACAACCCAGACCGCCAGCUAAGGUCCCAAAGUCAUGGUUAAGUGGGAAACGAUGUGGGAAGGCACAGACAGCCAGGAUGUUGGCUUAGAAGCAGCCAUCAUUUAAAGAAAGCGUAAUAGCUCACUGGUCGAGUCGGCCUGCGCGGAAGAUGUAACGGGGCUAAACCAUGCACCGAAGCUGCGGCAGCGACACUAUGUGUUGUUGGGUAGGGGAGCGUUCUGUAAGCCUGCGAAGGUGUGCUGUGAGGCAUGCUGGAGGUAUCAGAAGUGCGAAUGCUGACAUAAGUAACGAUAAAGCGGGUGAAAAGCCCGCUCGCCGGAAGACCAAGGGUUCCUGUCCAACGUUAAUCGGGGCAGGGUGAGUCGACCCCUAAGGCGAGGCCGAAAGGCGUAGUCGAUGGGAAACAGGUUAAUAUUCCUGUACUUGGUGUUACUGCGAAGGGGGGACGGAGAAGGCUAUGUUAGCCGGGCGACGGUUGUCCCGGUUUAAGCAUGUAGGCUGGUUGUCCAGGCAAAUCCGGAUAAUCAAGGCUGAGGUGUGAUGACGAGGCACUACGGUGCUGAAGUAACAAAUGCCCUGCUUCCAGGAAAAGCCUCUAAGCAUCAGGUAACAUCAAAUCGUACCCCAAACCGACACAGGUGGUCAGGUAGAGAAUACCAAGGCGCUUGAGAGAACUCGGGUGAAGGAACUAGGCAAAAUGGUGCCGUAACUUCGGGAGAAGGCACGCUGGUGUGUAGGUGAAGUCCCUGCGGAUGGAGCUGAGACCAGUCGAAGAUACCAGCUGGCUGCAACUGUUUAUUAAAAACACAGCACUGUGCAAACACGAAAGUGGACGUAUACGGUGUGACGCCUGCCCGGUGCCGGAAGGUUAAUUGAUGGGGUUAUCCGUAAGGAGAAGCUCUUGAUCGAAGCCCCGGUAAACGGCGGCCGUAACUAUAACGGUCCUAAGGUAGCGAAAUUCCUUGUCGGGUAAGUUCCGACCUGCACGAAUGGCGUAAUGAUGGCGGGCUGUCUCCACCGAGACUCAGUGAAAUUGAACUCGCUGUGAAGAUGCAGUGUACCCGCGGCAAGACGGAAAGACCCGUGAACCUUUACUAUAGCUUGACACUGAACAUUGAGCCUUGAUGUGUAGGAUAGGUGGGAGGCUUUGAAGCGUGGACGCCAGUCUGCGUGGAGCCAACCUUGAAAUACCACCCUUUAAUGUUUGAUGUUCUAACGUUGGCCCCUGACCGGGGUUACGGACAGUGUCUGGUGGGUAGUUUGACUGGGGCGGUCUCCUCCCAAAGCGUAACGGAGGAGCACGAAGGUUAGCUAAUCCUGGUCGGACAUCAGGAGGUUAGUGCAAUGGCAUAAGCUAGCUUGACUGCGAGCGUGACGGCGCGAGCAGGUGCGAAAGCAGGUCAUAGUGAUCCGGUGGUUCUGAAUGGAAGGGCCAUCGCUCAACGGAUAAAAGGUACUCCGGGGAUAACAGGCUGAUACCGCCCAAGAGUUCAUAUCGACGGCGGUGUUUGGCACCUCGAUGUCGGCUCAUCACAUCCUGGGGCUGAAGUAGGUCCCAAGGGUAUGGCUGUUCGCCAUUUAAAGUGGUACGCGAGCUGGGUUUAGAACGUCGUGAGACAGUUCGGUCCCUAUCUGCCGUGGGCGCUGGAGAAUUGAGGGGGGCUGCUCCUAGUACGAGAGGACCGGAGUGGACGCAUCACUGGUGUUCGGGUUGUCAUGCCAAUGGCACUGCCCGGUAGCUAAAUGCGGAAGAGAUAAGUGCUGAAAGCAUCUAAGCACGAAACUUGCCCCGAGAUGAGUUCUCCCUGAGACUUUAAGUCUCCUGAAGGAACGUUAAAGACGAUGACGUUGAUAGGCCGGGUGUGUAAGCGCAGCGAUGCGUUGAGCUAACCGGUACUAAUGAACCGUGAGGCUUAACCUUACAACGCCGAAG